UGGCAAGCGCCCCCCUGUCAUAGCACGGGAGAGAAAGGGGUGCCUGCUUGGGGUGAUGUGGGGAAAAUGGAAGUUCCUGCAGCCAGCAUCCUCACCUGACCCUAAACUACCUGAUGAUAGGUUCUGCCAGCUCAUUAGGACAACUAACUGAAUGCAGCAGCAAGGGAAGCCUGCCAUUCCUUAUGCACCAUGAGGAGGUAGAGAAUAAGCCCAUGAGAAGGAGCAAAGAACAAAACUGGAAGCCCCACCAGCCUGAACCAGGAGAAGAGCAUUUCGGUGACAGCCUUCCUGACUGUUUUAAACAU